AGAGUUUGAUCCUGGCUCAGAUUGAACGCUGGCGGCAUGCCUUACACAUGCAAGUCGAACGGCAGCACGGGAGCAAUCCUGGUGGCGAGUGGCGAACGGGUGAGUAAUAUAUCGGAACGUGCCCAGUCGUGGGGGAUAACGUAGCGAAAGCUACGCUAAUACCGCAUACGAUCUACGGAUGAAAGCGGGGGAUCGCAAGACCUCGCGCGAUUGGAGCGGCCGAUAUCAUAUUAGCUAGUUGGUGGGGUAAAAGCCCACCAAGGCGACGAUCUGUAGCUGGUCUGAGAGGACGACCAGCCACACUGGAACUGAGACACGGUCCAGACUCCUACGGGAGGCAGCAGUGGGGAAUUUUGGACAAUGGGCGAAAGCCUGAUCCAGCAAUGCCGCGUGCAGGACGAAGGCCUUCGGGUUGUAAACUGCUUUUGUACGGAACGAAACGGUCUCUUUUAAUACAAGAGGCUAAUGACGGUACCGUAAGAAUAAGCACCGGCUAACUACGUGCCAGCAGCCGCGGUAAUACGUAGGGUGCAAGCGUUAAUCGGAAUUACUGGGCGUAAAGCGUGCGCAGGCGGUUAUAUAAGACAGAUGUGAAAUCCCCGGGCUCAACCUGGGACCUGCAUUUGUGACUGUAUAGCUAGAGUACAGGAGGAGGGGGGGAAGUGGUAUUUCCCCGUUGGUAGCAGUUGAAAUGCGUAAAUUUUGGCGGAAGGAACCCCCGGUGGGGCGAAAGGCCAUCCCCUGGAACCUGUACUGACGCUCAUGCACGAAAGGCGGUGGGGAGCAACAGGAUAGAUACCCUGUAGUCCACGCCCUAACGAUGUCAACUGGGGUGUGUGUCGCUUCUUCCUGGACUCAGUACGAGCCUAACGCAUGAAGUCGACGCCUGGGAGUACGCCCGUAGUGACUAGAUACGACGACGGGGAUAGAAUGUGUUAAUUCCGAAUC
rnacentral:rRNA from 1 species